rnacentral:snRNA from 1 species
AGCUUUGCACAGUGGCAGUAUCGUAGCCAGUGAGGUUUAUCCGAGGUGCAAUUAUUGCCAAAAGACUAUUGCCA